rnacentral:rRNA from 1 species
GAGUUUGAUCAUGGCUCCAGGACGAACGCUGGCGGCGUCGCUUAACGACAUGCAAGUCGAGCGGAAAGGCCCUUCGGGUACUCGAGCGGCGAACGGGUGAGUAGCACGUGAGCAACCUGCCCUAGGCUUUGGGAUAACCCUCGGAAACGGGGGCUAAUACCGAAUAUUACUUGGUCUCGCAUGAGGUUGGUGGAAAGUUUUUCGGCCUAGGAUGGGGCUCGCGGCCUAUCAGCUUGUUGGUGGGGUAAUCGGCCUACCAAGGCGACGACGGGUAGCCGGCCUGAGAGGGCGACCGGCCACACUGGGACUGAGACACGGCCCAGACUCCUACGGGAGGCAGCAGUGGGGAAUAUUGCACGAAUGGGCGGAAGCCUGAUGCAGCGACGCCGCGUGAGGGAUGACGGCCUCGGUUGU